GAGGGUCUAGCUCAAUUGGUAGAGCACAUGCUUAGCAUGCACAAGGUCCUGGGUUCCAUCCCCAGUCCCUCC
rnacentral:tRNA from 1 species